AAGCAGUGCACUUUUUGAGACUCUACUCAACACAUACUGUCGAACAAUUUGCAGUUCAAAGAGUGUGCUUCCGUAAAUUUUUAAAAAAUUGAUUUUAAGUAAACGAACAUUACGUGACAAACAUGGCGGAAGGCGAUAAUUACGAUGAUGAGUUAGUCUCCAGCAACCCAAAUCAACGCAAUUGGCGAGGCAUUUUCAUCGCCUUAUUGGUUAUAAUAAUUGUACUUGCGCUAAUUGUUACCUCAGUGGUACUUCUCACACCACCCGAUGAGGGGCCGCGCGUGAAGGGCCAGCGCAUCAAACUGCAAGACAUCGUGGAUGGACUCUUUAUGCCGCAGCGCGCCAACGGUACAUGGAUAAAUGGCGAGGAAUUUCUUUACCAAGAUCACUGGGGAAGAAUCGUGUUGUUAAAUGCAACUAUUCUAAAUGAGCGAGUGCUCAUGUCAAAUGUGACAUAUAAAACACUUGCACCAUAUACAUUUUCUAUAUCAGCGGAUAAGCGCUAUAUCUUAUUGGCACAGAAUGUCGUAAAACUUUUUCGGCAUUCAUUUUUGGCACAAUACACGCUCUUCGAUAUACAAACCAGUGAAAGCAUCAAGUUGAAAAUCGAUUCACAUAGCGACGAGUGGCCCUAUCUACACUAUGCCCGCUUCGUAACCACUCAAGCGGCUAACAGAGACAAUGCAAGCACCACCAGCACCACAACCGGUGGCAAUGCGCUAGUGAUGGUCUACAACUAUGACAUCUACUACUGCCAAGGACCACGCUCCACCAAUCAUGUGUACCGCAUAACGCGCGACGCAGUGCCUGGUAUCGUCUACAACGGCAUACCAGAUUGGCUUUAUGAAGAGGAAAUCCUGCACUCGAAUAAUGCAAUUUGGCUUUCGGAGAAUGGACACUUAAUGCUUUAUGGCGCUUUCAAUGACUCGCUGGUGCAAGAACAACAUUUCGCUUGGUAUGGCACAACAAGUGGUGGCAAUCCGAAUGCGUAUCUUUAUCCGGAAAUCAGAUCAUUAAGAUAUCCUAAACCAGGCACACAAAAUCCCAUUGCCAAGCUACGCGUGGCCGAUAUACAAAAUCCGGAAGAUAUUAAAAUAAGAGAUCUACAACCGCCACAAGUACUGCAAAAUGAAGAUCACUACUUUAGCAGCGCCAGUUGGGUUAGUGAAACGGAAAUCUGUGUGGUUUGGCUGAAUCGUCCACAGAAUAUUUCGGUGGUCAGCAUCUGUAAGAGUCCAUUGUUUAUAUGCGUUGAGACACAUCGUGUGAGCGGCGACGGACGCGGUUGGGUGGACACAGUAUCGGUGCCAUUGUUUGCAGCGAAUGCAACUUCCUAUGUUGCCAUAUCGCCAUUGCGUGACGGCGCUUCCGGUUACUUCCGGCAUAUUGUGCAUGUUCAUGUUGCCAAAAAGCGCGUACUACCACUAACACACGGACAGUACGAGGUCAAUGAGUUGCUACAUUGGGAUCAGCUGAAUAAUUGGAUCUACUUUUUGGGCACACCGGAACGCUUGCCGGGACAACAGCACCUGUAUCGCGUGUCCGCUUUGCCACCGCGACACGGUUCGGCACACCAACUGCCCGACUGUUUAACGUGUCCGACCCCAUUGCGCAACAGCUAUCAGGGCGCUGAAGGUCAUACCAAAUCACCACCGAAACUGGUGACCGCUUGGGAUGACGACUGGGAGGACUCGGAAGAGCGUCAAACUUUACCACCACCUACGUUGACGCCGGAACACAAGCAUCCGACGGCAUCACACGGCCANUCGGAGCACAAUGAAUGUCUCUAUCACACAGCCAAAUUUCCGUUGGCGCUGCAGGCGCGUUAUGUGCUCAUCGAAUGUUUGGGUCCAGUGGUGCCGACCACCAGUGUUUACGCGCUCACGGGCUUCUACACUGGCGAGUAUGGUAAGAAGUUGUUACCGAAGAAAAGUGAAGCUUUGGAACUGCUUGUGACUGUGCAGAAUAAUACGCGUUUGAAGGAGAAGAUGUUGCGUACCGCGCUGCCACAGAUAAAAACUUUCCCGGUCAUGAUAUCGGGCGGUUAUCAUGCGCAGGUUCGUCUGUAUUUGCCGCCGGUGCUACGUGAGGAUGAGAUUACACGUUACCCGACGAUACUGCACGUGUACUCAGGGCCAGGUACACAACUAGUGACGGAGAAGUGGCACAUCGAUUGGAAUACUUAUUUGUCUGGGACGAAGGAUUAUAUAGUCAUUGAGAUCGAUGGACGUGGUUCAGCCGGACAGGGUUAUCAGCUGUUACAUGAGAUCUACAAGCGUCUCGGUUCGGUUGAAGUGUCCGACCAGCUGGAAGUGAGUGAAUAUUUGCGUGACAAUUUGCAUUUUAUUGACGGUCGACGUAUGGGUGUGUGGGGCUGGAGUUAUGGCGGUUAUACGGCCGCAUUGGCAUUGGCGGGCACACAGUCAAUCUUUCAAUGCGGCAUCAGUGUGUCGCCGGUGACGAAUUGGAAGCUUUACGACUCUACAUACGCUGAGCGCUAUCUUAGCUUCCCGAACGUAACCGAUAACUACAAAGGCUACGAGGAGGGUGAUCUCUCCAAGUACGUGGAUAAUUUACGCGAUCGUCAAUUCCUUUUGGUGCACGGCACCGCCGAUGAUAAUGUACAUGUGCAGCAAUCGAUGGUAUUAGCGCGUGCGCUCACCAAUAAAGGCGUACUGUACAAACAGCAAAUUUACCCCGAUGAGGGGCACACACUGUCGGGCGUGAAACGGCAUCUUUACCGCUCAAUGACGAGUUUCUUCGAGGACUGUUUUAAGAAGCUGCUUGAGCAACAACUGAGUAAUCAAACAGAUUCCGCGGAUUUCUUAGACUUUCAUAGUCUCUAUGUAAACAUUUAAACGCGAAGUUAUGCGAGUGUCUUCAUCGCACACACAUACCCAUAUAGAAAGACACACGUUGGUAUCGUGUAUGUGAGAUCCAUUAUUUAAGGUGCCGCCCGAAUCGAAAGCUGGACUUGGAAAUGGCGGUGGUAGUGAU
rnacentral:misc_RNA from 1 species